GUUUCAAUGCUAUACAAAAAGAGUAAGCAAGUUUAUGGUGGUGGCUAGCUCUUACAACAAGAAAGGGUGAUGCUAUGAAUAUUUUUGUUAGGAUUGCCUGGAAAGGAUAACCCAUGACUGUUUAUGAAGCACUGUCUUUUGCAACCCUGGUGUUGCUAUUGAACAGUCA
rnacentral:sRNA from 2 species